GUUCAAAAUCAGAUUUGGUGGAUGAAACAAAAGAUCCAGGCAUGGGUGUAGCUCAGUUGGUAGAGUGCUUGCUUAGCCAGCACUGAGCUCUGGGUUUGAUCUGGGUGCGGUAAAAUCGGACACAUGUCAGGAGCCAUAAUGGGACAAGCUAAUAACUAGCAGGUGAUCAUCCUGAAGUAGCCUGCCUUGGAUUAUUAUAUAAUCUGCGACAGUGAGCCCUCAUUAAGCAAGGCUAUGAGGGACUCAUUUUAGGAAAGAUUCCUGCUGAGAUAGAACAAAGGCUGUAUUGCUUAAUCCUCCCCUGAUAGGCUACAGGUGUUAAUCGCCUAAGCCAGCAAGCAAGCCCUCAGAAAGAGCAAGAAAGUUUUUAGGACUUUUUAGAAGUUAUCAUCAGCAUUUCAGUAUAAUUAGAGAGCUAGAAAGCCCCAAGACCCUCAGACGUUAAAGCCAUCACCAGAGUCCUUACUCUGUGACUCCACUGCUACCCCUGGCCCGGGCCAGGAGGCUCCCAAUGUUCUAAUUUGGCACCCGAACAGCGACAUUGAAUAAGGACCCUAUAGAUGCCAGACCAGCUGAUUGCGCCAGUCCUUCUCCACGGACAGAGGCUUCCAAACCUGCCCCUUCCGUGCCUACUUUAGAGCCAACAUCAUCUGCAGACUCUCCACUGGCGCCAGAGACCCCAGCAAAAGAAGAUACUGAAAAUAUGGUUCCUGAUUGCAUCUGAUUGGACUUUUAAUUCUAUACCCAGGGGAUACAGGGGAUAUAAAACUGGUAAAUAUAAAUCUGUAUGUAUCAUUUCCUACCAGAAUGCAAUUUGACCAAUUAUAUAACUUUUCCAUGAGUCAUAAUGCUUUUCCUCAUUGUAUGCUAGCUACCUUAUGUUUUGUCACCAAUUGCUUGCUCACAGAUCUGAUAUAAUGCUCUUGCUUUGUUUGCCUUGGUAUAUACUGUUAGUUCUCUUUCAUGACCUAAGAGAUUUAUAGUUGAAGUAAUCUUAGACAUUACAACCUUAAUUGCUACUUUAGGGUCAGCUGCAGCUCCUGCUGCCUCCCAGCCCAGGUUCACACUGCUAAUCAUGUUAAUUCCUUGACAAAGAAUAUUCCUUAGCACUGAUCACUCAGGGCAGAAUAGGUAGAGGUUUGAUCAUGCAGGGUAGAAUAGGCAGAGGUUUGAUCACUCAGGGUAGAAUAGGUAGAGGUCUGAUCACGCAGGGUAGAAUAGGUAGAGGUUUGGUCACUCAGGGUAGAAUAGGUAGAGGUUUGAUCACUCAGGGCAGAAUAGGCAGAGGUCUGACAGGUGACAGUCAAUGCUUUAGAGGGAGCCGUCCUUUACGUAGGAACCGAGGUUCAAAGAUUUAAAACAUGUUUAACUACCUCGUCUCAUGCCAAUUUUAAAUGGAUUUGUGUCACCCCUCUGUCCUACUGUGGGUCAGAAAUGCCCUAGGAACAGAUACAAGCACCUCUACGUGGUGUGUGGAACAAUUCACAACUUGCUAUUGACAUGGAUACGUUACGUUCAGUGCCGUCAGCCACGCCGGACUGAAGAGUUCUUCAGCAACAGAAUUGGCUGAUUAUUUUUCAAAUUCAAUCAUAAAUUUUGUUAAAAAUAAUUCCUUAUGGAAUUUUCUUAUAACGUUGGGAAUUAUUAUAGGAUUGGUUAUUCUGCUUCUGUUUCUUCUUCCAGUCAUCUUCAAGCGCUUAGGAUCUGCUCUCAGGACUGCUCAAAGGGAGAUAUAUACGCUUCAUUUAUAUUAUUCGAAAGGAAGAGAUGUCAGGAGCCAUAAUACGACAAGCUAAUAACUAGCAGGUGAUCAUCCUGAAGUGGCCUGCCUCGGAUUAUUAUAUAGUCUGCGACAGGUGGGCCCUCAUUAAGCAAGGCUGUGAGGGACUCAUUUUAGGAAAGAUUCCUGCUAUUAAUAUGUUUUUCCUGUUAUAUAUAACAUAUAUAACAAUCGCUAAGUAGUAACACACCCCUUUGAAGCUGAUCUCUGCACAUCCACAAAGAUGUACUAUUUUGUAGUGAUGCUAUAUAGACAAAUAGAUGACUUAAGUCUUAAUGAUGAUCCUAUAAGGAUUCCUAAAAUUAUAUCUGUGAUUAUUAAGCUCUUUUUUUUUGUUUUUCGAGAUAUUAAGCUCUUUUUUAAUGGGACUGCUAUUAGGUCCUUUUCUGAUAGUCACAGCUGCAAUGAGAACUCUGUCAAUCUCCCAAGUGUCACCAGUUAAUUGCUCUUAGAUGGAAACCAGACUUUCUCCUACUCAGAGCACAUUCCAAGAGAUUGUAAAACAAUUAACCAAAGGUCAUUAAAAGGGAACUAACAAUUUAUUAUAGGUGUCAGGACAGAAGAUAAAAUAUCGACUGAGUUUAUCUAUAUAAAACUUCACUAAUAACUUAGUUACGGUUUUAAACCUUCAGUGAACCUGUGAAGCUGAGACAAGUGAUGUUUAGCCACAUAAUUACUCCUAAUGGAUAUGCAUGUAAACAUUCGCUGUUGUAAACUUCUAUUUCAAUUUAUGAUUUGAUUUUUUUGUGUGAACUUGUGAUGAGCUUUGUAACAUGUGAUCAUUAUUCUGAAAGAUGCAUAAGUACUGAGGACAAAGAGAUGAGCGAGAAUCAAUAGAGGAGACUUUUUUUUCUUCCCCCACUUAGACUAGAAUCUUUUCCCUUUCCCCACUAAGGAUCUUUUGCUUUUCCCCUUAAAUAGCUUUCAUAGGAAACUUUUUACAACUUAGUAAUAAACUCUAUAAUCACU
rnacentral:lncRNA from 1 species